UCUGCCAAUUAUUUCACGUAUCUCAUUUUUACCCAAUCUUCUAUUUGAAGAGUCUGUUUAGGCAGUAAGCCCCAUUUCGUUCGCUGAAAAUAAACAUUGAAAAUCUGCCUCUCCAAGAGUUCGAAUUACCAGUUAACAGAAAUGAAUCUAGAUUUGAAAUAUUUAAUCUCCGGUGUACUCAUGGUGGUUUUUGUAGUGAAGGCAGUACCAGUACACGAACUAAGGCAUGCACUAGUUCUACCACCCUUUGGUUUCGGGAAAUAAUUAGCCAAAGUAUGUGCAAUGUAUGAGUUUUAUUGACCUUGAAAAUCUGAAUAAAAUGUUCAGACUCAGAAA